GACAGACAUACACUGACAGACAGACAUGCACUGACACACACACACUGACAGACAAACAGGUCAAACUUGAGCUCGCUUGCAGAAGCCCAAUUAUCCUUGACAGAGUCAAUUUUGAACUUGACUGUACCAAUAUUCACACUUACACAUGCUAAAUAUACAUGGAUUGCUGAAGUCAUUGUAACGGGUUAGGGUUAGCAGAAAGAUGAAACAGGUGGGAACUGUUAGUUUAGCUUAGCAAAGACUGGAAACAGGUGGGAACUGUUAGCCUAGGGUAGCAGAAAGACAAAACAGGUUAGAACUGUUAGCCUAGGUUAGCAGAAAGACAAAACAGGUUAGAACUGUUAGCCUAGACUAGGAGAAAGACAAAACAGGUUAGACUUUAGCCUAGGUUAUCAGAAAGUAAAAACAGGUUAGAACUGUUAGCCUAGCUUAGCAUAAAGACUGGAAACAGAGGAAAACAGCUACCCUAGCUUAGCAUAAAGACUGGAAACAGGUGGGAACCGUUAGCCUAGCUUAGCAUAAAGAUUGGAAACAGGUUAGAACUGUUAGCCUAGGUUAGCAGAAAGACGAAAGAGGUUAGAACUGUAAGCCUAGGUUAGCAGAAAGACUGGAAACAGAGGAAAACAGCUACCCUACCUGAGCAUAAAGACUGGAAACAGGUUAGAACUGUUUGCCUAGCUUAGCAUAAAGACUGGAAACAGAGGACCACGUUACCCAUGAGCCUCUGCUCCUGGCUGGCUCAGAGACACGUUACCCAUGAGCCUCUGCUCCUGGCUGCCUCAGAACCACGUUACCCAUGAGCCUCUGCUAUGAUAAUAAUAUGAGACAAAAAAUGAACAAACUGAAUAAUAAAAUAGCCAUUAAAACAUGCAAGAUGACCCCUAAAGUAACUAAAGUAACAAUGUAAGACCAAAA
ensembl:lncRNA